GGCGUGGUAGCCAAGUGGUAAGGCAUUUCUCUGCAAAAGAAAUAUACGGCGGUUCAAUUCCGCCCCACGCCU
rnacentral:tRNA from 1 species